AUGGUGUUGGUUGCUACAAUGGCAAGAGAACGGCAUUGUGGAAAUAGGGAGGUCUCAAAGGAUUUGCAGUACAGAAAGGAGCACAUGGCAAUCCCUACUGCAGAAGGGGAAGCAGUGGCCCAGAGCAUUGUAUCACUGAGUAGCCAAGUUGGGAACCACACCUGAAUCAAUCGUAUUUUUGGUCAAAGCAGCAGCCAUUUCCCUGCGAGUGCAACAGAUGCCCAUACCAAAGCAAUUACUGUACGGGAGAUGCUGACUGGCUGGAAGAACCUGUUCAUUCUGGAUCUGUAAUGGAGCCUGUGAGGAGCUCAGCUUCCUGGUGUGGAAGAAGGUAAGUGUGUG
rnacentral:lncRNA from 1 species